rnacentral:rRNA from 1 species
CCCUUAGAUGUUCUGGGCUGCACGCGCGCUACACUGAAGGGAUCAGCGUGUUCUUUUCCUGGUCCGAAAGGAUCGGGUAACCCGCUGAACCCCCUUCGUGGUAGGGAUCGGAGCUUGCAAUUAUUCUCCGUGAACCAGGAAUUCCCAGUAAGCGCAAGUCAUAAGCUUGCGUUGAUUACGUCCCUGCCCUUUGUACACACCGCCCGUCGCUACUACCGAUUGGACGUUUUAGUGAGGAUUUUGGACUGAGCCAAUGGUGGUUCACACCACUGUUGUGCAUGGAAAGAUCUCCAAACUUGAGCGUUUAGAGGAAGUAAAAGUCGUAACA